GACGUAGGAUGCAAGCGUUGUCCGGAUUUAUUGGGCGUAAAGAGCGUGUAGGCGGUUCGGUAAGUCGGCUGUGAAAGUCCAGGGCUCAACCCUGGGAUGCCGGUCGAUACUGCCGGACUAGAGUUCGGAAGAGGCGAGUGGAAUUCCCGGUGUAGCGGUGAAAUGCGCAGAUAUCGGGAGGAACACCUAUGGCGAAGGCAGCUCGCUGGGACGUUACUGACGCUUGGAGACGCGAAAGCGUGGGGAGCAAACAGG
rnacentral:rRNA from 1 species